CACGUAGGCGGCGAUUUAAGUCAGAGGUGAAAGCCCGGGGCUCAACCCCGGGACUGCCUUUGAGACUGGAUGUCUUGAGUAUGAGAGAGGUGUGUGGAACUCUGAGUGUAGAGGUGAAAUUCGUAGAUAUUCGGAAGAACACCAGUGGCGAAGGCGACACACUGGCUCAUUACUGACGCUGAGGCUCGAAAGCGUGGGGAGCAAACA
rnacentral:rRNA from 1 species